AUUGAACGCUGGCGGCAUGCCUAACACAUGCAAGUCGAACGGCAGCACGGUCUGGUUUACCAGAUGGGUGGCGAGUGGCGAACGGGUGAGUAAAGCGUAGGAAUAUACCUUAAAGAGGGGGAUAACCUGGGGAAACUCAGACUAAUACCGCGUAAACUCUGCGGAGCAAAGCUGGGGACCGAAAGGCCUGGCGCUUUAAGAAUAGCCUGCGUCCGAUUAGCUAGUUGGUGGGGUAAAGGCUCACCAAGGCGACGAUCGGUAGCUGGUCUGAGAGGACGAACAGCCACACUGGGACUGAGACACGGCCCAGACUCCUACGGGAGGCAGCAGUGGGGAAUAUUGGACAAUGGGGGGAACCCUGAUCCAGCAAUGCCGCGUGUGCGAAGAAGGCCUGAGGGUUGUAAAGCACUUUCAGUGGGAGGAGGAUUACUAGGUUAAGAGCCAGGUAAUUGGACGUUACCCACAGAAGAAGCACCGGCUAACUCCGUGCCAGCAGCCGCGGUAAAGUCGAUA
rnacentral:rRNA from 1 species